rnacentral:rRNA from 1 species
AUUGAACGCUGGCGGCAGGCCUAACACAUGCAAGUCGAGCGGAUGAAGGGAGCUUGCUCCUGGAUUCAGCGGCGGACGGGUGAGUAAUGCCUAGGAAUCUGCCUGGUAGUGGGGGAUAACGUCCGGAAACGGGCGCUAAUACCGCAUACGUCCUGAGGGAGAAAGUGGGGGAUCUUCGGACCUCACGCUAUCAGAUGAGCCUAGGUCGGAUUAGCUAGUUGGUGGGGUAAAGGCCUACCAAGGCGACGAUCCGUAACUGGUCUGAGAGGAUGAUCAGUCACACUGGAACUGAGACACGGUCCAGACUCCUACGGGAGGCAGCAGUGGGGAGUAUUGGACAAUGGGCGAAAGCCUGAUCCAGCCAUGCCGCGUGUGUGAAGAAGGUCUUCGGAUUGUAAAGCACUUUAAGCUGGGAGGAAGGGCAGUAAGUUAAUACCUUGCUGUUUUGACGUUACCAACAGAAUAAGCACCGGCUAACUUCGUG